ACGGGAGGCAGCAGUCGGGAAUAUUGCGCAAUGGAGGAAACUCUGACGCAGUGACGCCGCGUGCAGGAAGAAGGUUUUCGGAUUGUAAACUGCUUUAGACAGGGAAGAAAAAAGACAGUACCUGUAGAAUAAGCUCCGGCUAACUACGUGCCAGCAGCCGCGGUAAUACGUAGGGAGCGAGCGUUAUCCGGAUUUAUUGGGUGUAAAGGGUGCGUAGACGGGAAAUUAAGUUAGUUGUGAAAUCCCUCGGCUUAACUGAGGAACUGCAACUAAAGCUGAUUUUCUUGAGUACUGGAGAGGAAAGCGGAAUUCCUAGUGUAGCGGUGAAAUGCGUAGAUAUUAGGAAGAACACCAGUGGCGAAGGCGGCCUGCUGGACGACAACUGACGCUGAGGCGCGAAAGCGUGGGGAGCAAACAGGAUUAGAUACCCUGGUA
rnacentral:rRNA from 1 species